AACGAACGCUGGCGGCAUGCCUAACACAUGCAAGUCGAACGAGACCUUCGGGACUAGUGGCGCACGGGUUCGUAACGCGUGGGAACCUGCCCUUAGGUUCGGAAUAACUCCCCGAAAGGGGUGCUAAUACCGGAUAAUGUCUUCGGACCAAAGAUUUAUCGCCUUUGGAUGUGCCCGCGUUGGAUUAGCUAGUUGGUAAGGUAAAAGCCUACCAAGGCGAGGAUCCGUAGCUGGUCUGAAAGGAUGAUCAGCUACACUGGUACGGAGACACGGCCCAGACGCCUGGGAGAGGCAGCAGGCGGGAAUCCUCCGGAAUGGACGAAGGGCGGAAGGUGGAACGACGCGGGAGAGAUGAAGGCCGCAGGGUUGUAAAGGUGUGUAAAUCGGGAGGAAAGGAAGUCUUUUGAACAGUGAGAAGGAUUGACGGUACCGGAAGAGAAAGCCACGGCUAACUACGUG
rnacentral:rRNA from 1 species